rnacentral:rRNA from 1 species
UAAGGAAUAUUGGGCAAUGGACGCAAGUCUGACCCAGCCAUGCCGCGUGAAGGAUUAAGGUCCUCUGGAUUGUAAACUUCUUUUCUCUGGGGCGAAAACCAGCUAAUCUUAGCUAUUUGACAGUACCAGAGGAAUAAGCACCGGCUAACUCCGUGCCAGCAGCCGCGGUAAUACGGAGGGUGCAAGCGUUAUCCGGAUUCACUGGGUUUAAAGGGUGCGUAGGUGGGCUAGUAAGUCCGUGGUGAAAUCCCCGAGCUUAACUUGGGAACUGCCAUUGAUACUAUUAGUCUUGAAUAUCGUGGAGGUAAGCGGAAUAUGUCAUGUAGCGGUGAAAUGCUUAGAUAUGACAUAGAACACCAAUUGCGAAGGCAGCUUGCUACACGGUCAUUGACACUGAGGCACGAAAGCGUGGGGAGCAAACAGG